GCCGUCGUCGACCAGUGGACGGUCAUCCUCGAAAUAUGCUUCAAUGUGGGGAUAUAUCCGAGGAAGACGGGGGUUCGAGUCCCCCCGACGGUA